rnacentral:rRNA from 1 species
AGUGAACGCUGGCGGUAGGCCUAACACAUGCAAGUCGAACGGCAGCACAGUAAGAGCUUGCUCUUACGGGUGGCGAGUGGCGGACGGGUGAGGAAUACAUCGGAAUCUACUUUUUCGUGGGGGAUAACGUAGGGAAACUUACGCUAAUACCGCAUACGACCUACGGGUGAAAGCAGGGGAUCUUCGGACCUUGCGCGAUUGAAUGAGCCGAUGUCGGAUUAGCUUGUUGGCGGGGUAAAGGCCCACCAAGGCGACGAUCCGUAGCUGGUCUGAGAGGAUGAUCAGCCACACUGGAACGGAGACACGGUCCAGACUCCUACGGGAGGCAGCAGUGGGGAAUAUUGGACAAUGGGCGCAAGCCUGAUCCAGCCAUACCGCGUGGGUGAAGAAGGCCUUCGGGUUGUAAAGCCCUUUUGUUGGGAAAGAAAAGCAGCAGGUUAAUACCCCGCUGUUCUGACGGUACCCAAAGAAUAAGCACCGGCUAACUUCGUG